rfam:Triticum urartu cultivar G1812 contig466535, whole genome shotgun sequence.
GGAUGUGACCAUAACGGCACUAAAGCACCGUAUCCCAUCAGAAAUCCAAAGUUAAGCGUGCAUGCUUGGGUGAGAGUAGUACUAGGAUGGGUGACCUCCUGGGAAGUCCUCGUGUUGCAUUCC